rnacentral:rRNA from 1 species
UGCUGUUAAAAAGCUCGUAGUUGGAUCAAGAGUUCGACAGUGCAAGGUGGCCCCGCUUGCUAUGUUGGCUCCGGUCACCGUAGCGGCGGCGGAUAAACCCCUUGCGCCAAACUGUCGUCUCUAACAGACCGAAACGGUUCCCUGUGAGUAGGUUCCUUCAUUGGGGCUGAAAGCGCCUACGCAUCAACCAUAUGCUUACGGGACGUCGGUCAAAGUUACUGUGAACAAACCAGCGUGUCCAAAACAGGCUUUCGCCUGAAUGUUCGAGCAUGGAAUAACAAGGGAUCGAUUCUCUCGGUUCUUUUUGUUGGUUUUUAACCCGAGAAGGAGUAAUUCAGGCCACGGUGUCUGGGCUGGGUUCCCCUAGGCUUCGGCUUAGGCCCCAGUUAGGCCGUGUUCUUACGGGAUAAAUAGGGACUGACGGAGUCGUACGUACUUCCACGUCAGAGGUGAAAUUCUUAGAUCGUGGGAAGACGAACUUCUGCGAAAGCAUUCGACAAGAAUGUCUUCAUUAAUCAAGAACGAGAGUGUGGGGAUCGAAGAUGAUCAGAUACCGUCGUAGUCCACUACUGUAAACAAUGCCGUCUCAGGAUUGAGAAGUGAACCUAAUGACUUUCACAGCACUAACCCCUGAAACGAGAAAUCAAAGAU